UGUGUUGUUGGGUAGGGGAGCGUUCUGUAAGCCUGUGAAGGUGUGUCGUGAGGCAUGCUGGAGGUAUCAGAAGUGCGAAUGCUGACAUAAGUAACGAUAAAGCGGGUGAAAAGCCCGCUCGCCGGAAGACCAAGGGUUCCUGUCCAACGUUAAUCGGGGCAGGGUGAGUCGACCCCUAAGGCGAGGCCGAAAGGCGUAGUCGAUGGGAAACGGGUUAAUAUUCCCGUACUUGGUGUUACUGCGAAGGGGGGACGGAGAAGGCUAUGUUGGCCGGGCGACGGUUGUCCCGGUUUAAGCGUGUAGGUGUGUGUUCCAGGUAAAUCCGGUUCACUUUAACACUGAGGCGUGACGACGAGGCACUACGGUGCUGAAGCAACAAAUGCCCUGCUUCCAGGAAAAGCCUCUAAGCAUCAGGUAACAUCAAAUCGUACCCCAAACCGACACAGGUGGUCAGGUAGAGAAUACCAAGGCGCUUGAGAGAACUCGGGUGAAGGAACUAGGCAAAAUGGUGCCGUAACUUCGGGAGAAGGCACGCUGACACGUAGGUGAAGUGAUUUACUCAUGGAGCUGAAGUCAGUCGAAGAUACCAGCUGGCUGCAACUGUUUAUUAAAAACACAGCACUGUGCAAACACGAAAGUGGACGUAUACGGUGUGACGCCUGCCCGGUGCCGGAAGGUUAAUUGAUG
rnacentral:rRNA from 1 species